GGAAAUGGUAAAGGUCACAACUUUCAGCAGAUAAAAACUAGCGAUCUGCAAAUCGAUUACACAAAAGCUCAUAGAACUUCGAGAACAACGAUUGCUCAAGAUACAAAAUCGAAAAAAUGUCGAAAAUAAUUUUGUUAUUAUCAAUUUUCGUAUUGAUUGGGCUCUACGCUGCUACAGAUGCAGCAUGUCCAGGCAAAUGGUGUCAUCCAUCCCAAGGUUAUGGCUGUUGUGAUGGAUAUACGUGCAGUUCGCAUUUUUGGCAAGGUGAUUGCAUAACUGACAGCGAGUCCUUCCGUCGAACAGUUCCAGGAAAAUAAUUAUAACAAUACAGUCAAAAUUUAAAGAUGUAUUUUUCCAAUCAAUAAAACUCUUAAUACAC